AGUGAACGCUGGCGGUAGGCCUAACACAUGCAAGUCGAACGGCAGCACAGUAAGAGCUUGCUCUUACGGGUGGCGAGUGGCGGACGGGUGAGGAAUACAUCGGAAUCUACUUUUUCGUGGGGGAUAACGUAGGGAAACUUACGCUAAUACCGCAUACGACCUACGGGUGAAAGCAGGGGAUCUUCGGACCUUGCGCGAUUGAAUGAGCCGAUGUCGGAUUAGCUAGUUGGCGGGGUAAAGGCCCACCAAGGCGACGAUCCGUAGCUGGUCUGAGAGGAUGAUCAGCCACACUGGAACUGAGACACGGUCCAGACUCCUACGGGAGGCAGCAGUGGGGAAUAUUGGACAAUGGGCGAAAGCCUGAUCCAGCCAUGCCGCGUGGGUGAAGAAGGCCUUCGGGUUGUAAAGCACUUUUGGUUGGGAGGAAGGGCAGUAGGUUAAUACCCUGCUGUUUUGACGUUACCAAAAGAAUAAGCACCGGCUAACUUCGUG
rnacentral:rRNA from 1 species